ensembl:lncRNA
GAACCGGAGGCGGGGUCAGGGAUGAGGUUAGGGGCUCUACGCUAGCAAGAAAGAUCGGAGCAGGAUCUCCACGCCCGGAGUGGGCAUGUGGGCCGGGCGCUGAGUCGGGGGCCCGGUCAGAGUUGGGUGCUUUGUAUUAGGAUCCAAACAAGGUCCACACAUUGUAUUUGGUUGCCUUGCGUGAAGUAACAGUAGGCUUCGGAUCAUUCGAAAGUAAAGACUGCCCCUUUGCCUGGCUUCCAGCAAAUAACCUCUAAACUCUUGGAGCAUUCAGACUGCUAAAGAAAUCCCAUCUUUCUUAAAUAACUUCAGCUACACCCAAGGCCUGAUGGAGGAGACUGGGCUCCGUGCCCAGGUGGCAACGACGACAUGGAAUUAUCAGCCUCAGGCAGCCCCAGCUGAAGAGAUAAGGAGUAGUUAACGACAGCAUUAAAACAUGCGAAGCCCCGGAGGAGAACCGGGCUUGUCCACCGGAGCCAGACCCGGCUCCUCAGUGUCUGCCAUUACCCCCCCCCCGUCUAGGCUAUCAGGAUGAUUGGUGGGAGGGGGGGCAAGAUGGCGCCGUCCUUCCUC